rnacentral:rRNA from 1 species
AUUGAACGCUGGCGGCAUGCCUUACACAUGCAAGUCGAGCGGUAACACAGAGGAGCUUGCUCCUUGGGUGACGAGCGGCGGACGGGUGAGUAAUGCCUGGGGAUCUGCCCGAUAGAGGGGGAUAACUACGGGAAACUGUAGCUAAUACCGCAUAAUGUCUACGGACCAAAGUGGGAGCUCUUCGGACCUCAUGCUAUCGGAUGAACCCAGGUGGGAUUAGCUAGUUGGUGAGGUAAUGGCUCACCAAGGCGACGAUCUCUAACUGGUUUGAGAGAAUGACCAGUCACACUGGAACUGAGACACGGUCCAGACUCCUACGGGAGGCAGCAGUGGGGAAUAUUGCACAACGGGCGCAAGCCUGAUGCAGCCAUGCCGCGUGUGUGAAGAAGGCCUUCGGGUUGUAAAGCACUUUCAGCGGGGAGGAAGGGUCACUAGUUAAUACCUAGUGGCAUUGACGUUACUCGCAGAAGAAGCACCGGCUAACUCCGUGCCAGCAGCAGCCGCCG